rnacentral:lncRNA from 1 species
GAUGCUUGGACUUCUUCCUUGAAAGAUUGAGAGGUUAAGGCAGCCUUUAAUGCUUCUUCACAAUGAUAGCUGGCUGAAAUUCACUCACUCUCCCUCUCUUUCAAUCUGUCUUUAAUGUUGGAAGGAUUGGAUUUAUGACUCUCCCAAAUUCCUUCCUUUCUCUCUUACGAUUCCUCACACUUUUCUCUUGAAUGAAUACUCAAUGAGCUCUUUUUCUUUCAAACGUUGUUCUUAGAUAUUCAAGAUGUUCAAAGUUCCAAAAGUUAGUUUCCUCCGCCAAUUCCUCAUAUUUAUUGACUGAAAAACACCUUCAAUUAAUGCUAUAGCCAUUUAGGAUGAGAAAAUAGCCAUUUGGAAUUAAUUAGCCAUGUUUCAGGAUUUCUGAAAAACUAGCCGUUAUUUUGUCUGCAUUCAUUGAGUCGGCUCACCUCAUCACUGAGUCGGCUAACUGAAAAUCUAAGUCAGCUUCAACAGCAGGUGCCAAAAAUCCCGCAUUCUAUCUUGCUCUGCUAGCCUGAAACUAGGUCGGCUCAGACUGUCUUAAUCGACUCACUUGAUAACUCAAUCGGCUCACUAAUUGUAUGGAUUGACUCAGAAGAAAUAUUGAUUUAUACUAUUUUCUGUGUUCAUCUUCCUCUGAAAUCAAGUCGGCUCCUCUCUUCACUAAGUCGGCUAAGUUCCAGACUUGAUCGGCUAAGUUAAUUACUGGGUCAGCUCAGAGAAUUAUUCUAUAUUUUAAAGGCUUGUCUUUCCUGUCUUCUGAUACUGGGUCGGCUUAGCUUCAGGCUGGAUCAGCUCAGACAUGUAUCAAGCAUGCCAUAGGGAGUUUUAGACAGCAUUUCUUGAACCAAAUUAUUUUUAGGUUAGACUUGCCCUCUUAAACAUAAUUUUCACUUAUUAAGAAGCGCAUUUAGACUAGAUUAAACCCUCUAAUUCUUAUACCUCUUUGCUUCCAAUUUUGAGGGUUUUAGGUGAGGAAAAAUGACCUUUCUUGAAACUAAGGCCUUUUGAUUUUCUGAAGAUAAUGUAUUUAAGUCUUCCUUGCCUUUGAGUAUUUCUUGAGGAUAUGGUCUUUGAAAUUUCGUGAGGAUAAAGCCUUUUGAGUAAUUUGAAUUAGCAAUUUGAAGAAGCCUACAACCAUUCUUAAGCAAUUCAUUAGUAAACAUAAUUUAUACUCAAAUACUUUUUGACAUCAUCAAAAUCAAUUUUAGGGCUAACAUCCACUUAUCAUGGAAGCAGUUCACCUCAAGAUUGUUGAAUGGUGCCUUAACAUGUUUUUAUAAAAUAGAAAGCAACCAAAAAUAUAGUUCUCUUUUCAUUGGUAUUAAAUAUUUCAAUAGAGAGGAUGGUGAAACUGAUUGAUGCUGACCUACAAAAUUUGGAUUUUGCACGGCUUAUACUAAAUUUUCAGAACUAACUUCCUGUAGAAACAUGUCCUUUUAAAAAUGGACUGAUUAUCUCAUUUGGAGAUAUGAAAACUUACUCAGAUGCCAAACAAGAGCACUAAUCAAUUUCCACCUGUGUAGACCUCAAGAAAAGCCCUUGCAUAUGCUAAGCUGAACAGGAGGAAACUUAUCAAGAUUCAACAAGCCAGACAUGAAGAGGAGACCAGAAUACACGGUCAAAGUAAAGAAGGUGACACAUUUCCACAAAUCAAUUCACUAUUCUCAACCCUAUCUUUCACAAAAUGGUCAGUCAUUUUGUCAGUGUUGUAUUGAACCAGAUGAAGUUUGCUGGAGAGGGUAGAUCUCUUCCUUGGCCAAAUAGUGUAUGAUUUCCUAAGUAUGCUUUAUGCAGCCCCUUACAGGAGGCCGCAAAGGAAACAAAUUGAUUAGUGCAGAAAUAAAUUUCAGAUCUGAACCAACGUCCGUAGUUUUUCCUUCAGCCGGGAAACAGAUAUAAAGUAAAGAAAAGAGAAGAAGAGAUUGAACAAAAGAGUAGAAGAAUACAGAGACUG